UAGGGGGCAAGCGUUAUCCGGAUUUACUGGGUGUAAAGGGAGCGUAGACGGCGAGGCAAGUCUGAAGUGAAAGCCCGGGGCUCAACCCCGGGACUGCUUUGGAAACUGUCUGGCUGGAGUGCUGGAGAGGCAAGCGGAAUUCCUAGUGUAGCGGUGAAAUGCGUAGAUAUUAGGAAGAACACCAGUGGCGAAGGCGGCUUGCUGGACAGUAACUGACGUUGAGGCUCGAAAGCGUGGGGAGCAAA
rnacentral:rRNA from 1 species